rnacentral:lncRNA from 1 species
AGUGUUGAAUGAGGUGGCAGGAAGGAGAUACAGGGGCCACCAGAACCCUGAUGGGACACCUUUGGAACAAGAAGUUCUCUUUGGGCUUAUAGUCAGAAGUUCACACUCCCAUGUAUAGCCAGGAGGUGUCUAGCAGUGAACAAGGGCUCUCUUUGUUUUGCAUUCACAGGUCAAGCACUGUCAUUAACUACCACAGAGCCCACUGUGCUUCCCCCAACUCCUCCAACAGGUCAGUUGGCAUUUGUUUUAUGGAGAAAGGGAACCAUGUGCCCAGCACUGGCCUGGUGCCUUCCCAGAGCUGAAGCCACGCUAAGUGCUAACCAUACUCCUGCAAAUUCUCCUUGCCUCUGGAGGAGCUGAGUCAGGAACUGAUGCUGCAUAUUUGACUGUGACCUUCAGGCCAUGUGUAUUUUCUUUUUUUAAUUUUUUUUUUUUGAGACGGAGUCUCGCUCUGUCACCCAGGCUAGAGUGCAGCGGUGUGAUCUCGACUCACUGCAAGCUCCGCCUCCCAGGUUCACACCAUUCUCCUGCCUCAGCCUCCUGAGUAGCUGGGACUACAGGCACCUGCCACCACACCCAGCUAAUUUUUUUUUUUUUUUUUGUAUUUUUAGUAAAGACUGGGUUUCACCAUGUUAGCCAGGUUGGUGUCGAUCUCCUGACCUCAUGAUCCACCCGCCUCGGCCUCCCAAAGUCCUGGGAUUACAGGCGUGAGCCACCACAGCUGGCCCAGGCCGUGUGUAUCUUCAAACUUUUGUCUUUCUAAAGUUGGUUUUAGGGGAUGUCCUAACAAUUAGGUCUGCUUCUGUUUGUCCCUGUGACAGGUGCUGGGUUAUCUGCAACCAUAGCCACAACAGAGCCUGUGUCCCUGCCAUCCACACCCAUGCCCCUGGCAGGUAAGUGCUUGGGAAAAUGGGGGAAGGAGCUCACACUUAUGAAACAACCAUAAUAUGAUAAGCAAAGAAUCAGACGCUGUCACUAGUCUAUGCUCAAACCACCUACAAGUGUUACCCUUCCCCCCACCUCACCUCACUGUUUCAUAAAAUGAGACACAGAAAAUUUUCCUAGUGUCACCCGACUAGAAUGUGGUAGAGCCAAGAUUUGGGCACAAAUAUGUCUGACUCCAAACCCAUAUGACUCUGCUUAGCCAGUUACCUUUCAUGGUGGGACAGUAUUCUCCAAAGCUACCUUUGGGCUAAUGGGAAGAGAACAUGCUUGCAAGCCUAAUUGCUAUGUCCCAGGUACAUCAAGACUAUAACUAGGAAAUCAGGGAGUCGGCUGCGAGUUGUCACCUACUCUAUAGCUUUUAAUAUAAAAUUCCUAAUUUAUAUUUUCCACUGUGAUAAUUAGGCAAGACUUAUCCUUUUAGUUUACCUGAUACUGUAUAUCAGGUGUAAACCCAAAUCCCAGUUCUUUCCUUCUAGGUGGGCAGGAAACAUCUAUACAUCUGCUUUACAAAGAAAGAAAGUUUGUUGUAGCAUUCUGACACUUUAAGCCUGGUUCUGCAGUAACUCACAUCAGUAGUAACUCAAUUUGUCUAGGCCAAGCCUAAUGGUGUGUGUGCAUGUCUGUGUUUUGAAUAAAUACUAUGGUGGAAGUUUAAGGCUGUGUAGAUGUACUAAGCUAGCCUUACAGUCAUUCUGCUACCUCCUCAAAAAACACUACACAGCAGGCAGAGGUCUCUCCUCUGUUUCAGGCCUUCACUUGGGCCACUUUUUGACAUUCUGGGCCCCUAGGAACUUUUGCCUUCAGGGACCCCUACCUCCGUUAAAAAAAAAGUAUAUUUAUAUACACACAGAUAUGUAUGUGUAUCUUCUAUUUUAUGGUUGUGUUGGUAUAAAGACUAUAUUGUAGUCAUUUCUUCUGAUUUUAAAACAAAUGAAGGCAGGUUUGGGAGCCCUUAAAAGUCACGUGGACCCCAGUCACUGUGCCUGCCACAUCUGAUUGAGGCAUCUGUCCUGCUCUUCUGUGUUCUUCCAAGUAAUGAACACGUGCAGACCCGCUAGACUCCAGCACCACAAGGACAUUUCGGGAGGAAGAAUACGAUGCAUUUCCCCUGAUUUGAGACUGCUUCAAAUCAGGGUGUGGGGGAGGAUUCUGAUUUAUUUCAUAACCUCCUCGGGGUAGAACCGAUGGACUGUGGUAAGAGCUGUCCUAACCUUAUGCCCUCCUUAGGGCUAAGCCAUAGGCAGUCUGCCCUGUCGAUAGUGCUGCACAGAGAGCUGGCCCCAUUUUCAGACACAGGUUGCUCGCAGGAGCUUUGUUGAGAAAAGAGGUUCAUUUUUUAUGCAUAGUUCCUGGCAGGGUUGAGUUGAGAACAGUAGUUAAUGGUCACACUGAAUAAUGCAAGUAGGAGUGGGUUGUUUAUGAAAUGGAGGCUGCUGGCUCAGAAGAACUGGAGCCUGUAAAGGGGGGAUUGACCUAGAAUCUCUCGGAAAACCUUCCCUUCCCUUCUGAGCAUAAUCUACUUAUGAUUAUCAUAACGACUCACAUUUCCACUACAUUUUUCC